rnacentral:rRNA from 1 species
GAUCCUGGCUCAGGACGAACGCUGGCGGCGUGCCUAAUACAUGCAAGUAGAACGCUGAAGGAGAAGCUUGCUUCUCUGGAUGAGUUGCGAACGGGUGAGUAACGCGUAGGUAACCUGCCUGGUAGCGGGGGAUAACUAUUGGAAACGAUAGCUAAUACCGCAUAAUAGUAGAUGUUGCGUGACAUUUGCUUAAAAGGUGCAAUUGCAUCACUACCAGAUGGACCUGCGUUG